rnacentral:rRNA from 1 species
AGCGAACGCUGGCGGCAGGCCUAACACAUGCAAGUCGAACGAACUCUUCGGAGUUAGUGGCGGACGGGUGUGUAACACGUGGGAACGUGCCCUUUGGUUCGGAAUAACUCAGGGAAACUUGUGCUAAUACCGAAUGUGCCCUUCGGGGGAAAGAUUUAUCGCCAUUGGAGCGGCCCGCGUCGGAUUAGCUAGUUGGUGAGGUAACGGCUCACCAAGGCGACGAUCAGUAGAUGGUCUGAGAGGAUGGCCAGCCACACUGGGACUGGGACACGGCCCAGACUCCUACGGGAGGGGGCAGUGGGGGAUCUUGCGAAGUGGGCUGAAGCCUGACGCAGCCAUGCCGCGUGAAUGAUGAAGGUCUUAGGAUAGUAAAAUUCUUUCACCGGGGACGAUAAUGACGGUACCCGGAGAAGAAGCCCCGGCUAACUUCGUG